AUUGAACGCUGGCGGCAGGCUUAACACAUGCAAGUCGAGCGAGCGGCGGACGGGUGAGUAAUGUCUGGGAAACUGCCUGAUGGAGGGGGAUAACUACUGGAAACGGUAGCUAAUACCGCAUACUGAUGGAUGGACCCGCGGUGCAUUAGCUAGUAGGUGGGGUAAUGGCUCACCUAGGCGACGAUCCCUAGCUGGUCUGAGAGGAUGACCAGCCACACUGGAACUGAGACACGGUCCAGACUCCUACGGGAGGCAGCAGUGGGGAAUAUUGCACAAUGGGCGCAAGCCUGAUGCAGCCAUGCCGCGUGUGUGAAGAAGGCCUUCGGGUUGUAAAGCACUUUCAGCGAGGAGGCGUUACUCGCAGAAGAAGCACCGGCUAACUCCGUGCCAGCAGCCGCGGUAAUAC
rnacentral:rRNA from 1 species